rnacentral:rRNA from 1 species
GAGUAAUGUCUGGGAAACUGCCUGAUGGAGGGGGAUAACUACUGGAAACGGUGGCUAAUACCGCAUAACGUCGCAAGACCAAAGAGGGGGACCUUCGGGCCUCUUGCCAUCAGAUGUGCCCAGAUGGGAUUAGCUUGUUGGUGAGGUAACGGCUCACCAAGGCGACGAUCCCUAGCUGGUCUGAGAGGAUGACCAGCCACACUGGAACUGAGACACGGUCCAGACUCCUACGGGAGGCAGCAGUGGGGAAUAUUGCACAAUGGGCGCAAGCCUGAUGCAGCCAUGCCGCGUGUAUGAAGAAGGCCUUCGGGUUGUAAAGUACUUUCAGCGGGGAGGAAGGUGUUGUGGUUAAUAACCGCAGCAAUUGACGUUACCCGCAGAAGAAGCACCGGCUAACUCCGUGCCAGCAGCCGCGGUAAUACGGAGGGUGCAAGCGUUAAUCGGAAUUACUGGGCGUAAAGCGCACGCAGGCGGUCUGUCAAGUCGGAUGUGAAAUCCCCGGGCUCAACCUGGGAACUGCAUUCGAAACUGGCAGGCUUGAGUCUUGUAGAGGGGGGUAGAAUUCCAGGUGUAGCGGUGAAAUGCGUAGAGAUCUGGAGGAAUACCGGUGGCGAAGGCGGCCCCCUGGACAAAGACUGACGCUCAGGU